UGCAAUAAGUUUAUCAGGUGAAACCGGAUAUGACGCACCGGGGAUUACGCAAUACAUCGUGAAGGCACAUUGUGUUUCAAUGGCAUCUCAGAUGGUUGGAAAUGUGUAGUUGCAGUUGGACUGACCUUUUACUGUUUAGGAUUCCCCCAAUCACGCAAUACCAUCAGCGCUAGGAGGGUGAAGGAUGGUGAUAUGGCUGCAACUGAACGGGGGAUUGAGGAGACUGUUCUGGGGAUCUGUGUGACUAGAGUUGAGGGAGCUGAAGCCAUGGACCCCCUGCCAAUACUGGAGUGGUAUUAGAAGGUGGUGUGGUUCUUGGGCAGUGUGUUCCUUGCCUUUGCAGUUCGGGCUGAUUUAUGCCUUAUACAGUGU